UACAGAGGUCCCAAGCGUUGUUCGGAUUCACUGGGCGUAAAGGGUGCGUAGGUGGUGAGGUAAGUCGGAUGUGCAAUCUCCAGGCUCAACCUGGAAACUGCAUUGGAAACUACCUUGCUUGAGGGUUUGAGGGGGGAUUGGAAUACUUGGUGUAGCAGUGAAAUGCGUAGAUAUCAAGUGGAACACCAGUGGCGAAGGCGAAUCCCUGGAAAAUACCUGACACUGAGGCACGAAAGCUAGGGGAGCAAACAGG
rnacentral:rRNA from 1 species